UACGUAGGGUGCGAGCGUUAAUCGGAAUUACUGGGCGUAAAGCGUGCGCAGGCGGUGCUGUAAGACAGAUGUGAAAUCCCCGGGCUUAACCUGGGAACUGCAUUGGUGACUGCAGCGCUGGAGUAUGGCAGAGGGGGGUGGAAUUCCACGCGUAGCAGUGAAAUGCGUAGAGAUGUGGAGGAACACCGAUGGCGAAGGCAGCCCCCUGGGCCAAUACUGACGCUCAUGCACGAAAGCGUGGGGAGCAAACAGG
rnacentral:rRNA from 1 species